rnacentral:rRNA from 1 species
ACAAGUAUCAUAGCGUAGACCCGAAACCGAGUGAUCUAUCCAUGGCCAGGAUGAAGGUUGGGUAACACCAACUGGAGGUCCGAACCCACUAAUGUUGAAAAAUUAGGGGAUGAGCUGUGGAUAGGGGUGAAAGGCUAAACAAACUCGGAAAUAGCUGGUUCUCUCCGAAAACUAUUUAGGUAGUGCCUCAAGUAUUGCUUGCGGGGGUAGAGCACUGUUAUGGCUAGGGGGUCAUUGCGACUUACCAACCCAUGGCAAACUCCGAAUACCGCAAAGUAUGAGCUUGGGAGACAGACAUCGGGUGCUAACGUCCGGUGUCAAGAGGGAAACAACCCAGACCGCCAGCUAAGGUCCCUAAUAUAUGCUAAGUGGGAAACGAAGUGGGAAGGCUAARACAGUCAGGAUGUUGGCUUAGAAGCAGCCAUCAUUUAAAGAAAGCGUAAUAGCUCACUGAUCGAGUCGUCCUGCGCGGAAGAUGUAACGGGGCUAAGCCAGUUACCGAAGCUGCGGAUUUGCAMGCAAKUGCAAGUGGUAGGAGAGCGUUCUGUACGCCUGUGAAGGUGGMUYGUGAAGGCUGCUGGAGGUAUCAGAAGUGCGAAUGCUGACAUGAGUAGCGUUAAAGGGGGUGAAAAGCCCCCUCGCCGAAAGCGCAAGGUUUCCUACGCAACGUUCAUCGGCGUAGAGUGAGUCGGCCCCUAAGGCGAGGCAGAGAUGCGUAGCUGAUGGGAAACAGGUCAAUAUUCCUGUACCGAUGUAUAGUGCGAUGUGGGGACGGAGAAGGUUAGCUCAGCCGGGUGUUGGAUGUCCCGGUUCAAGCCUGUAGUCAUGCCUGGUAGGCAAAUCCGCCGGGCUUAGAUGAGGGGUGAUAACGAGGAAGCAUGCUUCUGAAGUGAGUGAUACCCUGCUUCCAGGAAAAGCCACUAAGCUUCAGCUAUACACGACCGUACCGCAAACCGACACUGGUGCGCGAGAUGAGUAUUCUAAGGCGCUUGAGAGAACUCUGGAGAAGGAACUCGGCAAAUUGACACCGUAACUUCGGAAGAAGGUGUGCCUUUAGUAGGUGAAGUCGUACAGACGGAGCCCAAUGAGGCCGCAGAGAAUCGGUGGCUGCGACUGUUUAUUAAAAACACAGCACUCUGCAAAGACGAAAGUCGACGUAUAGGGUGUGACGCCUGCCCGGUGCUGGAAGAUUAAAUGAUGGGGUGCAAGCUCUUGAYUGAAGUCCCAGUAAACGGCGGCCGUAACAAUAACGGUCCUAAGGUAGCGAAAUUCCUUGUCGGGUAAGUUCCGACCUGCACGAAUGGCGUAACGAUGGCCACACUGUCUCCUCCGCAGACUCAGCGAAGUUGAAAUGUUUGUGAUGAUGCAAUCUCCCCGCGGCUAGACGGAAAGACCCCAUGAACCUUUACUGCAGCUUUGCAUGGUAUGUUGAAUCGUCUUGUGUAGGAUAGGUGGGAGACUAUGAAGCGGUCACGCUAGUGAUUGUGGAGUCGUCCUUGAAAUACCACCCUGGAUUAUUUGACGUUCUAACCACGGCCAGUGAAUCCUGGCUUGGGACAGUGCAUGGUAGGCAGUUUGACUGGGGCGGUCUCCUCCCAAAGUGUAACGGAGGAGUUCGAAGGUACGCUUAACACGGUCGGACAUCGUGUGUAAAGUGCAAUGGCAAAAGCGUGCUUAACUGCGAGACAGACAAGUCGAGCAGGUGCGAAAGCAGGACAUAGUGAUCCGGUGGGUU